rnacentral:rRNA from 1 species
GUCUCCAGGGUGGUGUGGAGAAACGUGGGUUCCUUGCUUGGAACUGAUUGUUGUCCCAAUUCUGUUUGGCAAUAUUAUACAUGGAUGUACAGUUUCUUACCUGGGGUGGACAAAAUUUACACUGUUGGCUUGGCUGCUAUAUGUUGAGCUAUUUGGCUGGCCAGGAACCGAGCCACUUUUGAACUCAAAUGGAUUAACUCCCCAUUUGAGAUUGUUUUCACAGCUUGUGCUUUUUUGGUAAACUAGGCAGGUCUCCAGAAAGCAGAGAUGGGAGAGAUGGUGAAAAAAGGAGCGGAGAUGCUGAGGGAGAACACUACGCAGAUGAUGCUGCUUUGCGGCCCACCAGUUCCAGCUAAAGAUGGGCGCGACGAGAACUGA